rnacentral:rRNA from 1 species
GCGAGUGAAGCGGCAACAGCUCAAAUUUGAAAUCUGGUCCCUAGGGCCCGAGUUGUAAUUUGUAGAGGAUGCUUUUGGUGAGGUGCCGCCCGAGUUCCCUGGAACGGGACGCCACAGAGGGUGAGAGCCCCGUCUGGCUGGCCGCCGAGCCUCUGUAAAGCUCCUUCGACGAGUCGAGUAGUUUGGGAAUGCUGCUCAAAAUGGGAGGUAUAUGUCUUCUAAAGCUAAAUAUUGGCCAGAGACCGAUAGCGCACAAGUAGAGUGAUCGAAAGAUGAAAAGCACCUUGAAAAGAGGGUUAAAUAGUACGUGAAAUUGUUGAAAGGGAAGCGCUUGUGACCAGACUUGGGCGCGGCGGAUCAUCCGGGGUUCUCUCCGGUGCACUUCGCCGCGUCUAGGCCAGCAUCAGUUCGUCGCGGGGGAAAAAGGCUUCGGGAACGUGGCUCCUCCGGGAGUGUUAUAGCCCGUUGCAUAAUACCCUGCGGUGGACUGAGGACCGCGCAUCUGCAAGGAUGCUGGCGUAAUGGUCACCAGCGACCCGUCUUGA